UUUGUGAACGUCCGAGCUGCUAAGUGCGUCAGUUGUGGAGAGACGUAGAGGAGUUGAGUUCGUGUGUGUAGGGAGGCAGACAGCUCCGUCGCAGACUACGGACCUCUCCGGGUCUCAGCCGUCAAAGACCCUGUCCGGUAGGUGAGUGGCUCGCUUUGAGGGCAAGGCUUCUCGGAUCGAGGCUUCUUCAUGGCCGCUCGGGUCGCGAGCGGCCGGGGCUUCGCUCUUUGCGGAGGACGGCGUCUAACAGAGCGCAGUUGAUUGAGGAAACACUAGCCGGGCAUCAUGAGUGGCUGUCGAGUGUUCAUUGGGAGACUAAAUCCCGCAGCAAGGGAGAAAGAUGUGGAAAGAUUCUUCAAGGGUUACGGACGGAUCAGAGAUAUUGAUUUGAAAAGAGGUUUUGGUUUUGUGGAAUUUGAGGACCCAAGGGAUGCAGAUGACGCUGUUUAUGAACUUGAUGGGAAGGAACUUUGCAGUGAAAGGGUUACUAUUGAACAUGCUCGGGCUCGGUCUCGAGGUGGAAGAGGUAGAGGACGAUACUCCGACCGUUUUAGCAGUCGCAGACCUCGAAAUGAUAGACGAAAUGCUCCACCUGUAAGAACAGAAAAUCGACUUAUAGUUGAGAAUUUAUCCUCAAGAGUCAGCUGGCAGCCUAUCUGUGUCGUUGGCCUUAUGACGAGGAGUGCCUGUGGGUUAUCCUAAUCGUUGUCUUGGUCACUCUUGGUUGGGCCUGGUUGACUUUGCCAGUCAGCUCCUACAGUGAUCAGUUGGCCACCUCUAGAUCUGUGUUUGCCGGUCUAGACGUAAUCGGUGCACUUACUUGAAGUGCCGGGUUGCAGCGAUCCCAGAACGUUGAUAACGUGAUCUGAUCCCUAAGUUGAGAGCUGUCUUCCUGUAACGCUUCCGAAUAAGAGGUCCUGGUCGAAAGAGUUGAAAGAUACGAAAUUAGUUGGUCGUUGGAAUCCUGAUCGCAGUAAAGUGGUCCUUGGUAACUGCACACGAGUAAAACAUGUCUGCAUCGCCAGUAGUCUGCUAAUAGGGAGGGCUGUGCGAUUAAAGGCUUCCAUCGAUUGGGUAGUAUCCUUCAAGUGGGUGGCGAAGAGCCAGUCGGGCCUAUGUCAUGAAGGUUUCUCCGACCGCUUAAUGGUUUGCUGCUUGACUAGCCUAGGGAAAUGUUAAUAAAGGUAAAGUAAAUUUUUUUAAUGACAUAUGGGGCACAAAAUAACUGGUGUCUUUGUAAAUGUUGUUUUACUUUUUUUUGUUUUGUUUUUUUAAAUAUAAGACUAGUCUUUAAAGGAUGUACUGUUCCUUUUUGUUUUUUUUUUGUUGUUUGUUUUGUUUUUUUGUUUGUUUUUCCCCCUUUUUGUACUGAGCUCAGUUAGACUAAUACUAUAAUGUUAAAAACUGGAAUUUCCUCUAGCAUUUUGCUUAAAAGCAAUAUGCUAUUUGCUUAUUUCGUGCCCUGGCAUACUUUUUGAAUUCCGAUAGAAUACAAGUGUGGUAUAUGCCAUGUUUGUACUAUCUAACAACUUCUCUUCCAGUAGUCUUGUUUAUACCAUGUGGUUGUUUGUGUGUCACUUUUCCCUUUCUCUCCUUAACAUAAUUGUCUUGUGUUAAGGAUCUCAAAGAUUUCAUGAGACAAGCUGGGGAAGUAACCUUUGCGGAUGCACAUCGACCUAAACUAAAUGAAGGGGUAGUUGAGUUUGCCUCUUAUGGUGACUUAAAGAAUGCUAUUGAAAAACUUUCUGGAAAGGAAAUUAACGGGAGAAAAAUCAAAUUAAUUGAAGGCAGCAAAAGACACAGGUCAAGAAGCAGGUCACGAUCUCGGACCAGGAGUUCCUCUAGGUCCCGUAGCCGAUCCCGUUCACGCAGGAGCAAGUCUUACAGCCGAUCAAGGAGCAGGAGCCGGAGCCGGAGCAAGUCCCGUUCUGGUAGUAGGUCUCCCGUGCCUGAGAAGAGCCAGAAACGUGGUUCUUCGAGUAGAUCUAAAUCUCCAGCAUCUGUGGAUCGCCAGAGGUCCCGGUCCAGGUCCAGGUCCAGAUCAGUUGACAGUGGCAAUUAAUUAAACUGUAAAUAACUUGCCCUGGGGGCCUUUUUUUAAACAAAACAAAACAAAUUCCCAAACCAUACUUGCUAAAAAUUCUGGUAAGUAUGUGCUUUUUCUGUGGGGUGGGAUUUGGAUGGGGUUGGGCUGGAUUUCUUUGUAGAUGUGGACCACCAAGGGGUUGUUGAAAACUAAUUGUAUUAAAUGUCUUUUGAUAAGCCUUCUGCUCACACUUUUGUGACUGUCUGAAGUAUAUAGUUUGUGUAUAUUGAUAGAGCUCUUUUAUAACUAAAGCAUUUAAUUUUUUGUACUAGAAAAACUUUUGAAUAUUUUAGUUCAUUGUUCAGAUAUGUUAACUUAAGAUUAGUUUAAUUACUCAAUUAAACUAAUGAAUAGCUUUGGACACUUUAAAAGAGCUCUAAAUUUGCUUGUAUAUAAAAGCUUAGUUUGAGUUUUCCUUGUUAGGGUCAAGGGUGUCUUCUUGCCCAUUAACAGCUGUAGAUAGACUUAAAGCAGCUGUUUGUUACUGAUAAUAAAAUACUAAGUAUUAUAAAACUG